GCAUUGGUGGUUCAGAGGUAGAAUCCUUGCCUACCAUGUGGGAGACCUGGGUUUGUUUCUCAGCCUAUGCA
rfam:Salmo salar isolate Sally breed double haploid chromosome ssa09, whole genome shotgun sequence.